AACGAACGCUGGCGGCAUGGAUUAGGCAUGCAAGUCGAACGCCUGUAGCAAUACAGGAGUGGCGAAAGGGUGAGGAACACGUGAGUAAGCUGCCCUUCAGUUGGGAAUAACCUUUCGAAAGAGAGGCUAAUACCGGAUGUGACAUUUGAAUCGCAUGGUUUAAAUGUUAAAGAUUUAUCGCUGAAGGAUGUGCUCGCGUCCCAUAAGCUAGUUGGUGAGGUAACGGCCCACCAAGGCAAUGACGGGUAGGUGGUCUGAGAGGAUGGUCACCCACACUGGGACUGAGAUACUGCCCAGACUCCUACGGGAGGCUGCAGUCGAGAAUCUUCCGCAAUGGGCGCAAGCCUGACGGAGCAAUGCCGCGUGAAGGAUGAAGGUCUUUGGAUUGUAAACUUCUGUCACCGGGGACGAAUAAUGACGGUACCCGGGGAGGAAGCCACGGCUAACUACGU
rnacentral:rRNA from 1 species